ensembl:snoRNA small nucleolar RNA SNORA17
CCUGCCCUCAGAGGCAUUGCAGAUGUGACUGGUGUGUCACACUUGUGUCAUUAGGUGGCAGAAAGAGAGGCUUGUCUACGCUCAGUGUUCUGGCCUGUGAACAUCUGGAUAAUUAAUAGUCUGACACU